rnacentral:lncRNA from 1 species
GAAAUGCAUAUUAUAAAUAUACUUGGCACAUAACAUUUCUUAAACAAUUAUUCCACUUAUAUAUUAGAAAGUGGUUAUCAUUUCAUUUGUAGUGGCAAGGAUUUGAGAUCAAGUGUGGUUUUUACUUCUCAUGCAACACUAUCCUUUCAAAGAAUCUUUUUGAAACUACGCUCACUCAAAUUUACUAGGCCCUAUGAAGUAUGCAAAGGUCUAUCCAUUCUUAGUAAUGCUCUCUGCUGCUAUAAAUAGUCCUCUUUUCUUUAAUCUAACCAUGUAGUAAGACAAAUGCAAUGUCUGGCCACAUGAAAAAUGUUCCUUCNNNNNNNNNAGAAAAGCAGAUAAAAGAGACCAAAAAUAUGCAGCAAUAUACAGUUUGUUUCAUUAACCUAAUUAAGGAAUUUCAAGUAGUACAGGACUUGUAUGACUAAACACAACCAAAAAAGUUAGCUUUUCCUCUCUAUGAUGAAAGUCCUCAACUCUAGAACAACUAUUGUGAAUAUUUUCCAAAUAACAGCAUAUUCCAUUCUCUAAAAGUAAACACAUGCACAGAUAUCAAGUUUUACAGAAUAUUUUUUUAAAACCUAGGAGGAAUGAAAAGCUCAAUAAAGUUAAGGAAGUAUUUAACNNAAGUUCAUUUAUAACAAUUAUGCCAAUUUUCUUCUAUUUUGGAGUUUCUUGAUGGAGUUUCCAUCAAAUAUUUCACAUGAAAUAGUUUGAGAUCUUGAUAAGAUAAGAAAGUUUUAAUUGUAUGUUUUCCAUAACUAUAGAUUUCAUUAUUGAAAACAAUUCAGAAUGAUUAACUUACCAACAAUUAAGUGAAAAUUAACAUACAUGAAAUAAUUCAUAAUAUAUAAUAUUCUAUUAACUAAAUUCAUAAACAGUCUAGCAAAGUUUCAUAAAUUUCAUUAAUCAUACAAUUAACAUUUGAUUUUGAGUGUAACUAGAGAAUAACUUUGAAAUUCCUAAAUAAAUCAAAAGACAUCAUAGUUCUUCUAUGAGAUGAAUUUUAAUGAUAUUUUGAAACAUCUUAAAAUAGUCAAAAUUCCUUAAUACAAAUUCAUUUCCUACACUUUCUAACAAUUCUGGUCAUAGUUUCAAAGUAUCUUCUCUUGUUGAUUUGAGAAAUCAGCCUUUGGCCUUUAUUUGUACCUAUGUUCAGAUACAAAUUUUCUCUUUCACACUUAAAUUUAAG